AAGCAAUCAAACAUUCUAUAUGACAAUUAGCGUAGGUUCUUGUGAACAAUAGGAUAAUUGGACAGUUUUGGGAUCUUAUUUACAAUAUUGCCACAAGCUUUUGUUUACCACGACGACACCCACCUGCUUAUCUCCAUGAAAACCUAGGUUCCUAACCGCCUUUGUUCAAAUUAAAAGGAAGAGAUAGAAAACGUGAGGAAUAGAAAGAGAUGGUUACCGAGACAAAGAGUUAGAGAUGAGAAGGAGUUAAAAGGGAGGGGCCGAGGACGGUGGUUCCGUGGCGACGCUACGGCGGCAAACCACCAGGCGUGUGGAUCGGUUAUGUUCCCUAUCUGAAGGUGUGGAAGAAACUGGUGGUGGUGGUUUAUACACCCCAGCGACGGUGACGAGGUUAGACGGUGAAUAGCUCACUGGUCCACUUCAAAACUUGUCAGGUUUGGGUUUAGUCUUAACGAGCUUGGGUCAGUUUCAGGUUGAACCCGCGAACCCGUUUAGCUAAACUGGUCAGGUUCGGGUCAACCCAGUUGGGUUGGCGGGUUGACCCAUUUAACCCAUUUAUAUUAUAUUUUAUCUUUUAAAAUAUCUUUUAUGUCAUAAAUUAAAUUGGAUGUGUAUUUUAUGCUAUAAAUAUAACUUAAAAAUGGAAGUUGACAUAAAUUUUUAUGAUUUAAUGUAAUUUUAUUAUAUAAAUUUGUGUUUUUUUUUGUAGUCGUGUUAAUUUUAAUAUAUUAAUUUGCUGAAAAAAAUAAAAAAUAAAAAAUCUGGGUUGAACGUGUCUGGUUCGGGUCAGUAUGCGAGUAUUCAGGUCGUGUUCGGGUUCAUAUGUAUGGCAUGAUUUUCGGGUUCGAGUUCGUCUAAAAUUUUCGGGUUCGGGUUAGGUUGAACCCGCCAACCCGCGAACACGACCCGUUUAGCACCCCUAGGCCUUAAAUCUUCAUAAAUGGCCAAAUAUCAAUUGCGGACAGGUAUGAAGAGACUAACCGAACUCAUGUAUAUGUUGCAUAUUUUUAUAUUUCUUGAAGUUAGUUUUAUUACAUUUUGGCAGCUUUUAGCAAUCCUUCCAUUGGAUGUUAUGCAUACAUUAGGUAAUCUUACGACCAACAUGAGUAUCGGCUAAGUUUCUGUUUCAUUUACUGGUCAUGAAGAAGAUGAUGUGUAACAUUAGAGGUUGCAAAAUGGGCAAGUUGGAUUGGGUUAGUUGUUGGGUCAGAAUGGGUUUUGGUCAUAAUGGGUUUGGGUCAGGAUAAGCUAGGCUGAUAAAAAACUGGGCCAGGAUAGGUAUGGGUUAGAAUGAGUUUAAGUCAGGAUAGGUCACAAUGUUUGUGAUAUAGCUCGAUGCAAUUUUAUUCUAGAUUAUGUAUUUGAAGGGAACUAAAGAACGCCUUUUGAAGGAUGGCCUCCCCACACCACUUAACUAGAAAAAGAAUUCCAUAUAUACCUUGGAAUUUGUGGCCACGGGUCAUCUGAAUUUUUUUUCUCAUUUAAUAUUUUAGGUGAAUAUUACUGUGGAUUGUUUUCAUACUCAUACUAUUUCCAUCCACCGUUUAAAUUAUGGGGUUAUCAGGUUGUUAUUAUGAUCUAAGACUAUUGAGUUUAAUUCUUAUACCACUGCAUAGAAUGUAAGUUAUUAUAUAAUUUACUAUUAACUAUUGGUAUCCUCUGCUUAUGUAGCCAUAUACAACAUUCCACUUCUAAUCGCCUCUUUAUUAGUACAUCUAUCAAAUUAUAAGAUUGUUGUUUUUUAUUGCAUGUGAUUCAGAAUAACUAAGAGAAAUACAUUGGGUCAAAUGAUUGUCCUUUACUUUUCAUUAACUCCUCCAAAGGUCGAUUAGUUAAUCACAAACUGAAUGUCUGAAUCCAUGGGAUUUGUAUGGUUUAAAUGCUUCACCCGGUCAGCAUCUUGGCUAUUAACAAUGAGGAUAUAGAUGAGUUAGUCUCUUAUUAUUUUUUUAAACCAGUUUUCUUUAAGGCUUAUUUAUGUUGGUUAGAUGAUCUAUGUUCAACUUUAUAUAAGUUGCAAUAGUUAGAAGGAUUUUGUUCUUGAUCUGUCACCCAAAGUUAUGAUUCCUAGCAUGGAGCAAAGAAUCCGUUUUCUAAAUGAGCAGGUUGUCUUUAUUUCUACUCAAA